UCUCCGUAGGUGAACCUGCGGAGGGAUCAUUACAGAGUCCAUGCCCUACCGGGUAGAUCUCCCACCCUAUGUUAUUAUUACUUUGUUGCUUUGGCGGGCCGUUAGGCUCCGGCCCGACUACCGGCCCCGGCUGGUAAGCGCCCGCCAGAGGACCCAAAACCCUGAAUAUUAGUGUCGUCUGAGUACUAUAUAAUAGUUAAAACUUUCAACAACGGAUCCCUUGGUUCUG
rnacentral:misc_RNA from 1 species